rnacentral:rRNA from 1 species
GAUGAACGCUGGCGGCGUGCCUAAUACAUGCAAGUCGAACGAACAGACGAGGAGCUUGCUCCUCUGACGUUAGCGGCGGACGGGUGAGUAACACGUGGAUAACCUACCUAUAAGACUGGGAUAACUUCGGGAAACCGGAGCUAAUACCGGAUAAUAUAUUGAACCGCAUGGUUCAAUAGUGAAAGACGGUUUUGCUGUCACUUAUAGAUGGAUCCGCGCCGCAUUAGCUAGUUGGUAAGGUAACGGCUUACCAAGGCGACGAUGCGUAGCCGACCUGAGAGGGUGAUAGGCCACACUGGAACUGAGACACGGUCCAGACUCCUACGGGAGGCAGCAGUAGGGAAUCUUCCGCAAUGGGCGAAAGCCUGACGGAGCAACGCCGCGUGAGGGAUGAAGGUCUUCGGAUCGUAAAACGCUGUUAUUAGGGAAGAACAAAUGUGUAAGUAACUAUGCACGUCUUGACGGUACCGAAUCAGAAAGCCACGGCUAACUACGUG